CCAUUUCCGGAAGCCUGGCGCAAGGUUGGUCUGCAGGUGGCCUCCAGGUGCAAAGUGGGAAGUGUGAGUCCUCAGUCUUGGGCUAUUCGGCCACGUGCCUGCCGGACAUGGGACGCUGGAGGGUCAGCAGCGUGGAGUCCUGGCCUUUUGCGUCCACGGGUGGGAAAUUGGCCAUUGCCACGGCGGGAACUGGGACUCAGGCUGCCCCCCGGCCGUUUCUCAUCCGUCCACCGGACUCGUGGGCGCUCGCACUGGCGCUGAUGUAGUUUCCUGACCUCUGACCCGUAUUGUCUCCAGAUUAAAGGUACGACAUUUGGAGGCCCCAGCGAGAAACGUCACCGGGAGAAACGUCACCGGGCGAGAGCCGGGCCCGCUGUGUGCUCCCCCGGAAGGACAGCCAGCUUGUAGGGGGGAGUGCCACCUGAAAAAAAAAUUUCCAGGUCCCCAAAGGGUGACCGUCUUCCGGAGGACAGCGGAUCGACUACCAUGUGGGUGCCCACAAAAAUUCCACCUCUGAGUCCUCAACUGCUGACCCCGGGGUCAGAGUCUCACUCUGUUUCCCAGGCUGGAGUUCUGUGGCACCGUGUUGGCUCACUGCAACCUCCGUCUCCUGGGUUCAAGCAAUUCUCUUGCCUCAGCCUCCAGAGUAGCUGGGAUUACAGGUGCCCACCACCACACCCGGCUAAUUUUUUUAUAUUUUUAGUAGACACGGGGUUUCACCAUGUUGGCCAGGCCGGUCUUGAACUUGUGACGUCAGGUGAUGCACCCGCCUUGGCCUCCCAAAGUGCUGGGAUUACAGGUCCAGAUUUUGAACAAAUCUCGCUAGAGAUUGAACAGAGCUGCGCCUGGAUCCCGCCACAGUGAGGAGACCUGAAGACCAGAGAAAACACAGCAAGCCCCUGGAUCCUCCUGGAAUCCCCGAUCCCUCUUGCUCCCUGGCAGAGUUUUCUAGUCCCUCUUACUUGAAGCAUGUCUUUCAGAGCCCGGCACCACCCAUCUUGAGUAUCUGGUGGAUUUUCACAUCUCAAGCCAGCUAAGAGUAUGGGAAAUAGGACUCGUUAAAGCACAGAUAUCACACAAGUGAUUCAGAUUCACGAGGGUAAUCCAGAUGAAGGUAUAUCAUUGUACCUGGCCCGCAUCACUCAGUAACUGUCACCUUUGAUUUAUUGAUUUACUUGAGAUGGAGUUUGGUUCUGUCCCCGAGGCCGGAGUGCAAUGGCGUGAUCUCUGCUCACUACAACCUCUGCCUCCCAGGUUCAGAGUGAUUCUCCUGCCUCAGCCUCUUUAGCUGGGAUUACAGGCACCCACCAACAUGCCCAGCUAAUUUUUGUAUUUUUAGUAGAGAGGAGCUUUCACCAUAAUGGCCAGGCUGGUCUUGAACCUCAAAUGAUCUGCCCACCUUGGCCUCCCAAAGUGCUAGGAUUACAGGCUGGAGCUACAGAGCCCAGCCUGUCACCUUGAUUUAAAUGAAUGCAGCUUUCUUGGUGUCUUGAUGUUUGUGAAUUUCUGUGGAGUUUGAUACUGCUCCUUUUGCUGCUUGUUUUUCCAGAGUCCCCUUAUCACUUGACGUGCUGUUAUAUUAUGUUUGAUUUAUUACAGAUACCCCAUCAGCCUGAGUCUCUUAAAGGCCUUUAUACACAUAUGUCUACACAUAGGGAUUUGGAUGAUCUCGGGAUCCCACAUCCUCGCUGUCCCCUGUCCCCCCGCAACAUCCCCCACCAAUACCUUUCUGAAGUUUUCUAGUCCCUCCUUUUUGUUUGUGCUCCUUAAAGCCCAGCCCCAUGCCUGACUUUGGUUCCCAGUGAGCAUUGUACAUUUGUGGAUAUUAAAUCUUUGGCAAAGUCAUUUACCUGGGCUGGAAUAGGGCUCUUGGCUGAUUCUUUUUCCUAAACACCCACCCAAUGGGAGAGGCUGAUACUCAACAUGCAAACCUUGUGUUUUAUUUCUCCAGGCGAAGGGAUGUUGGAAGACAUUCUGGAAGGGGUGGGGUGUGAAGAUUUACAAAUAAUCUUUGAAUAUCUGCUUCAUGAUAGGUCUUGGAGGUGCCUUGUGGGUGUGGCUUUGGGGGGAUGGUUACGAGGAAAUUGUGGAUAUUAAGGAAGUCAGGAAAGGAAAAGAUCAGUCACAAUUCAACAAUUCAGAGAAAGCUCCUAAGGGACUUUCUGGCUGCUUGAUGCCCAGAGGCCAGGCCCUCACUUCGUAUUAAGGCUCAGGACUGUGGAUAGAGAAUUUAAAGGGGCACCAAAAAAAACAUUAAAAUAGAUAAACAUAUUUUUAAUGGAAUACCUUUAAAAAUGCAAAUCAAUGCACAAAGAAAACGCCCA
rnacentral:lncRNA from 1 species